AUCCCAUGUUGAGGAUGCAUCCUCAAUAAUUCCAUAUAUUGUUCCUAUGUUUUGUACAAGGUUUCGGACUCCAUCUGUCGAAAAUAAGAUAUAUCAUUUUUGAGCUU